rnacentral:tRNA from 1 species
CAGAUCAUGAUUUAAUUAGUAAAAUAUCUUCUUUGGGAGAAGGUUAUGGGAGUGCAAUUCUCUCUGAUCUGA